CUUCUCAUCUUAAGGCGUGGCAAGAAGUACUAAAACAAGAUUCCAAGAAUUUACUGCGGAUAUAUACGAGAAAACAGAUAACUCAGUGUGGCAAACUGAAAAUGGAGAAAACUGUCUUCCUGGCUGUGUUGGUACUUUGCACUCUUUUUCAUUGUCUUAGCGGAAAACAUGUGGAGAAUGGAUUACAAUUGCGCGAUGAAAUACCUUUGAAACCCCGGGCUGUGAGGUGUAAAUGUUAUGGACUUGAACGCAAAGGCGACCUUUGGGCUUUUCGAGGAAGCUGCCCAACUAAAGGCUUUCAUUAUACAGAGUUUUCAUGUCGCCAUCCACCGUUUGGCGUCUGUUGCUAUCCGGGAGGACAAUGAACCACGCUGAAGUUCUAAAGGGGUGCCUUAAUCAAAAAAUAUAUAAUUUAAAAGUCGCAUUGCAGUCUAGACGCGCCGCACCUGUUAUCUUUACAAAAAGUAAAUAUAUAUUUGGGGAUACAGAUUUUGAUCACAAGCCUUGCCGCUACUUGAAUGACUGCUUGUGUGCUUGCUUGCAAACUUGACAAAGAAAUUCCCUUAUUUUAUGCUAUAGAUAAAUGUAAACUACUGAUUGAUUAUGCAACAAUAAAGGUUUACCCAAGUACAAUCA